rnacentral:rRNA from 1 species
UACGGAGGGGGCUAGCGUUAUUCGGAAUUAUUGGGCGUAAAGGGCGCGUAGGCGGCCCGGUAAGUCAAAGGUGAAAUCCCUCGGCUCAACUGAGGAACUGCCUUUGAAACUGUCGGGCUUGAGGCCGGGAGGGGGUAGCGGAAUUCCCAGUGUAGCGGUGAAAUGCGUAGAUAUUGGGAGGAACACCGGUGGCGAAGGCGGCUACCUGGACCGGUUCUGACGCUGAGGUGCGAAAGCGUGGGGAGCGAACAGG